AUAUAUAUAUAUAUAUAGAGAGAGAGAGAGAGAGAGAGAGAGAGAGAGUUUAAUUUUUGAGAAAUAUGUUUUAUUUUAAUAUCCGGGGUAUUGAUAUUAUGGAUGCAAGUGUUCUUUGAAUUGAUAUUAAACAUGAGUUUUGUAUAUCUUUGUAAUAGUUCUCUGCUAAAGAUGUGUUUCGAAAGUUUAUAGUUUUAUUAUGAAAAUAUAUACAUCCAAACCUGAUAGUAAUUAUUCAUGUUUUAUGAUACAGUAUCUUAAAAUAUCACAUUACAAAUAUUGUAA
rnacentral:misc_RNA from 1 species